rnacentral:lncRNA from 1 species
ACUAAGGAUGUAAAAAAAAUAAAGGGAUCAAUUACAGGUCAAAAAAUUCUUUUCGAAGGUAUAACUUGAAUUAAGCCUUGAUGAGUGGAUUCACCUAGACCAAGGAGUGGAAUGUGUACCAUCUAGCGAGGGGUGCAAACAGCAUGAGAGCCUUUUGAUCACAGCACCAGCCACGGGAGAGACAGAAUAAAGCAGUCUUGAUUUCCCUGUGAUGGAUUACUGAAUUUUUAGAAAAGAGAAGGUCACAUUGGGUGUCCUGUCCACUGGAUGGCUGGCUUUCUAUUCACAUUUUGUGCUUUCAGCGAGAAAUGGAAAACAGGGCUGUUGGCUUUUGAGGAUUGUUUAUUUCAAGGAAGCAGGUAGAUGGUGGCAAUGGAUGGUGAUGGAUCCACUCUCAGACAAUAGCCAUUGUUUGUGGCCGGGUUGAACACGUGGCUGCAUCCCGGGUUCCUGGCCUCCCCGGGGGCCACUCUACACCUGGGGCACCGGAGUGGACAGACCCUUCGCAGGUUGCCCGGCUCCAAGACAUACCAGAAGGACAUAAAUAAUCA